rnacentral:misc_RNA from 1 species
GAUGAAGAACGUAGCGAAAUGCGAUAAGUAGUGUGAAUUGCAGAAUUCAGUGAAUCAUCGAAUCUUUGAACGCACAUUGCGCCCCUUGGUAUUCCAUGGGGCAUGCCUGUUCGAGCGUCAUUUGUACCUUCAAGCCUUGCUUGGUGUUGGGUGUUUGUCUCGCCUCUGCGCGCAGACUCGCCUCAAAACAAUUGGCAGCCGGCGUAUUGAUUUCGGAGCGCAGUACAUCUCGCGCUUUGCACUCAGAACGACGACGUCCAAAAGUACAUUUUUACACUCUUGACCUCGGAUCAGGUAGGGAUACCCGCUGAACUUAAGCAUAUCAAUAAGCGGAGGA